rnacentral:rRNA from 1 species
CGGAGGAUCCAAGCGUUAUCCGGAAUCAUUGGGUUUAAAGGGUUCGUAGGCGGUUUUAUAAGUCAGUGGUGAAAUCUGGUCGCUCAACGAUCAAACGGCCAUUGAUACUGUAAGACUUGAAUUACUUGGAAGUAACUAGAAUAUGUAGUGUAGCGGUGAAAUGCUUAGAGAUUACAUGGAAUACCAAUUGCGAAGGCAGGUUACUACAAGUAUAUUGACGCUGAUGGACGAAAGCGUGGGGAGCGAACAGGAUUAGAUACCCUGGUAGUCCACGCCGUAAACGAUGGAUACUAGCUGUUUGGAGCAAUCUGAGUGGCUAAGCGAAAGUGAUAAGUAUCCCACCUGGGGAGUACGCUCGCAAGAGUG